AGUUCACUCUGUGAUGAUGAAGAGUCUGCUGCACUCUUUGCUUCUGUCAGUGCUCUGCAGAAAUGCUGUCAUCUUGCUGAACUUUUUCAUCAACUUGCCCACUGGUUAGCAUAUCUAGAGAAAGGCAAAGUUCCAGAAAAGCAGUUAAUUUGAAAACUUCUGUUAUCAGCAUGAGAGCGUGAGAAUUUCAUCAAAUGCGUGAGAAUUGGCAGCCCUGAAAUAUGGUGUUCGAAAGGAGGAGAGAGAAUACAAGGAACUCUUAGCCAGUAAACUAACUUCAGAUGAUGGGAAAAGCUGGAACUUAUCAUUAACGACAUGGUAACUGAAUGCUUGAAAAGUAAUAAUUGUAUUGGGCCUAGUCCACAUGGAUUAAUGAAAUUGAAAUCAUCUUUGACAAAUCUGCUGGGAUUUUUUUGAGGUUGUAACCAGCAGAGCAGUUAAGGCAAAUUAAACCAUAUGGUUUUCAUUAGGUUUUUGUAAUCGGGCUAAUAUAUUGGUGCUUUCAUGUACCGAGGAGGUGGAGUGCUCUUGGGAUCAGUUCUGUGAUCCUCAGCUGCUCACAAUGAAUGAUUUGGAUGUGAGGAUCUCUUGUACCACAUCCCUGUUUACUGAAACACAAAGCUAGGUGGCAGUGUGGUGUAUGAAGAGGAUGCAGAGACACGUAGGAAAUGAAAUAUAAUGUGAAAAAAUAGUAAAGUCGUUCAAUUUAAAACAUAAAACAUGGAACAGUACAGGCACGGGAAAGUUGUAAAGGGUCGUUAUACAGAGUGACUUUUUCAUCCAUGUACGAAAAUCAGCAAAAGUUAAUAAAAAUGAAAAAUCUGCAAAUUCUCUAACUGAUUUCCAGCGUCUUCAAUCCUAAAGUGCUACUUCUGUUUCAUUUUUCAUAGAUACUGCCUGACCUGCUGAGCAAUUCCAGCAUUUUCUAAAUUAAUUGCUAAAACUUAAAAUGCAGGUUCAUCAAGCAAUU